rnacentral:rRNA from 1 species
UACGAAGGGGCUAGCGUUGCUCGGAAUCACUGGGCGUAAAGGGUGCGUAGGCGGGUCUUUAAGUCAGGGGUGAAAUCCUGGAGCUCAACUCCAGAACUGCCUUUGAUACUGAGGAUCUUGAGUACGGGAGAGGUGAGUGGAACUGCGAGUGUAGAGGUGAAAUUCGUAGAUAUUCGCAAGAACACCAGUGGCGAAGGCGGACUCACUGGCCCGUAACUGACGCUGAGGCACGAAAGCGUGGGAGCAAACAGGG